GCCCGUCUAGCUCAGUUGGUAGAGCGCAAGGCUCUUAACCUUGAGGUCCUGGGUUCGAGCCCCAAGGUGGGCG
rfam:Ipomoea nil DNA, scaffold: scaffold1417, cultivar: Tokyo-kokei standard.